UGGAUGCUUAAAAUUUUUUCAGUGUCUCCUUUUUGUGGUGAUAACUGUAAAAAAGGUAUCCUAUAGUAACAUAGGAGCUUUCUGGUCAACCCUGGGUAGUUUCACAGGGCUGGAUCGUUCCACUUCUGACAAAU